rnacentral:rRNA from 1 species
GACGAACGCUGGCGGCACGCCUAACACAUGCAAGUCGAACGGACUUACGAGAGCUUGCUUUUUUAAGUUAUUGCCGGACGCGUGAGUAACACGUGAGCAACCUGCCUCUGAGAGGCUGAUAGCUUCUGGAAACGGCUGGUAAUACCCCAUAAAAUAUAAAUAUCGCAUUAUAUAUAUAUCAAAGAAGUUCCCUCAUAGAUGUUCUCGCGUGAGCUUAGAUAGUUGGUCAGGUAACGGGUCACCAAGUCGACGAUCAGUAGCCGGACUGAGAGGUUGGACGGACACAUUGAGGGUGAGACGCGGCCGAGAAUCCUACGGGAGGGAGGAGUGGGGGAUAGUGCACCAUGGAGGGAAUUAUGAUGCAGCUAUGACGCGUGGAGGAAGAAGGUAGUCGGAUUGUAAACUCCUUUUAUCAGGGACGAUAAUGACGGUACCUGAAGAAAAAGCGCCGGCUAACUACGUG